rnacentral:lncRNA from 1 species
GACGUCAUCACAGUAAGUGCUUCUCUCUCUCUCUCCUCUACUCUGUACCUCUACCCCCCUCCCCUCUCCUCCAUGGACCCUAGAUUUCACUGUAUUAUCCCAAAUAAUAUUUUUAUUUUUUUAAUAAAAUAUUUAAUAUUUAUGAUAUGACCAAUACUAUUACCUCUCUUCAUUUUAGUUUUCUUUGUAAAAAAAAAGAAAAAAAACUUAUCCGGCCAUCAAAAAACUUACCUCUCUUCAUUAUAGUAUUCACUUAUUUUUUUUUUUUGCGUAUAGCAUUCAUCUUAUAUAAGAAUUUUUUUUGAAAAAAUGGGGAUAUUUUAUUGAAAAUGCCCUUAAACAUGUUUUAAAAUAACCCAAGAACAAACGUUCUUUUCUUCUAAAAUGUAAUGUUUUAAAAUAAACAAAAAAAAGAUGAAUCGAUAAAAGAAACAGUUUUGCUUUUUUUCUUUAACCUAGAUGCUAAGUUGGAUUUGAUGUAACAUAACAUAAUAUAGUCGUCAACAUGUGGUGUGGAUUUGUCAUUUAAUGUUUUGAUAUGACCAUUUAUUAAUCUAAUCUUUAUUGCUCCUCCUCCUCCUUAAUUUUUUUGAUUUGAUUCACGAGCAAUUUUUAUAAAUGAAAUAUAUAUACCCCUAGUUCACAAUUUAAAAGAAAGAGAAGAAGGAAAAAAAAAAAACCAUGGAAUGACUGAUGUGAUUUAUACUUUAAGAAGUGAGUUGGAAUUAUCUUUCCAUGUGCC